ACCCAACUGACGAGUCCCAAAUAGGAUGAGACCCGCGUCCUGGAU
rfam:Schistosoma curassoni strain Dakar, Senegal genome assembly, scaffold: SCTD_scaffold0003347